UAGAGCUUCACAAUGGAAUGUCAAUCCUAU
rnacentral:piRNA from 1 species